AUGGAUAGAGGAAGUUAUAUGGUAGUUUCCACAAAGAAAACUGAAGAGGUCUCAUUUGACUCUUUCACAACCUUUCUGACUUCUUGGUGGAGAAUGGAUUCUAGGAAGAAAGAAGGAAAAGAGAAGACUCUGGAACUCCGGAAUAGUCUAAGCCAGAGGCAAUAUAGCAAUUCAGUCUAGGAUGGUGACAUGAGGACAAGAGAAUUGGACAGCUAAUUUGAGGUCAGUUCUUUCAAAUUAAUUAAUUUGUAUGCUUAACAAACAUUCAGGGGACUCUACUAUGGCCCAGACAUGGUGGUAGGUUUGGGUGCUUAGAGGUGCCAUCUACUAAGAUUGCCUAAGAUUUAGUGUGGGAGGUGCUGAGGCAGAUGUGAAAACAAACAAUUAUGGCAAAGUAAGGUAAUGACUCUAACUGAAGU
rnacentral:lncRNA from 1 species